rnacentral:rRNA from 1 species
GAUGAACGCUGGCGGCGUGCCUAAUACAUGCAAGUCGAGCGAACAGACGAGGAGCUUGCUCCUCUGACGUUAGCGGCGGACGGGUGAGUAACACGUGGAUAACCUACCUAUAAGACUGGGAUAACUUCGGGAAACCGGAGCUAAUACCGGAUAAUAUAUUGAACCGCAUGGUUCAAUAGUGAAAGACGGUUUUGCUGUCACUUAUAGAUGGAUCCGCGCCGCAUUAGCUAGUUGGUAAGGUAACGGCUUACCAAGGCAACGAUGCGUAGCCGACCUGAGAGAGUGAUCGGCCACAAUGGAACUGAGACACGGUCCAGACUCCUAAGGGAGGCAGCAGUAGGGAAUCUUCCGCAAUGGGCGAAAGCCUGAAGGAGCAAAGCCGCGUGAGUGAUGAAGGUCUUCGGAUCGUAAAACUCUGUUAUUAGGGAAGAACAAAUGUGUAAGUAACUAUGAAAGUAUUGACGGUACCUAAGCAGAAAGCCACGGCUAACUAAGUG